rnacentral:rRNA from 1 species
GAGCGGUAACAGGCGUAGCAAUACGUGCUGGCGAGCGGCGAACGGGUGAGUAAUGCUUCGGAAUCUACCCAGUAGUGGGGAAUAACCAUCCGAAAGGAUGGCUAAUACCGCAUACGUCCUACGGGAGAAAGCGGGGGAUCGUAAGACCUCGCGCUAUUGGAUGAGCCGAAGCCGGAUUAGCUAGUUGGUAGGGUAACGGCCUACCAAGGCGACGAUCCGUAGCUGGUCUGAGAGGACGACCAGCCACACUGGGACUGAGACACGGCCCAGACUCCUACGGGAGGCAGCAGUGGGGGAUAUUGGACAAUGGGGGAAACCCUGAUCCAGCGACGCCGCGUGUGUGAAGAAGGCCUGCGGGUUGUAAAGCACUUUUAGUGGGGAUGAAAAGUGCAGAGCUAAUAUCUCUGCAUCUUGACCUAACCCAAAGAAAAAGCACCGGCUAACUCUGUGCCAGCAGCCGCGGUAAUACAGAGGGUGCGAGCGUUAAUCGGAAUUACUGGGCGUAAAGCGUGCGUAGACGGUAGCGUAAGUCAGAUAUGAAAGCCCCGGGCUCAACCUGGGAACUGCAUUUGAGACUGCACUGCUUGGGUGCGGAAGAGGGAAGCGGAAUUUCCGGUGUAGCGGUGAAAUGCGUAGAUAUCGGAAGGAACACCAGUGGCGAAAGCGGCUUCCUGGUCCGACACCGACGCUCAGGCACGAAAGCGUGGGGA